rnacentral:rRNA from 1 species
UACGGAGGGUGCAAGCGUUACUCGGAAUUACUGGGCGUAAAGCGCAUGUAGGUGGCUUCAUAAGUCUGGUGUGAAAUCCCGGGGCUCAACCCCGGAAGUGCAUUGGAUACUGUGAGGCUAGAGUAUGGGAGAGGAGAGUGGAAUUCCUGGUGUAGAGGUGAAAUUCGUAGAUAUCAGGAGGAACACCGGCGGCGAAGGCGGCUCUCUGGACCAUUACUGACACUGAGAUGCGAAAGCGUGGGGAGCCAACAGG